AGGACGAACGCUGGCGGCGUGCCUAAUACAUGCAAGUCGAACGGCUUUUCUAUGGAAGCUUGCUUCCACUGAGAAGAUAGUGGCGAACGGGUGAGUAACACGUGGGUAACCUGCCCAUAAGAGGGGGGAUAACAUCCGGAAACGGGUGCUAAUACCGCAUAGUUUUCUUGAUCGCAUGAUUGAGAAAGGAAAGACGGCCUUUGUGCUGUCGCUUAUGGAUGGACCCGCGGCGUAUUAGUUAGUUGGUGAGGUAACGGCUCACCAAGACGAUGAUACGUAGCCGACCUGAGAGGGUGAUCGGCCACAUUGGGACUGAGACACGGCCCAAACUCCUACGGGAGGCAGCAGUAGGGAACCUUCCGCAAUGGACGAAAGUCUGACGGAGCAACGCCGCGUGAGUGAAAGAAGGUUUUCGGAUCGUAAAACUCUGUUGUCAGAGAAGAACAAGUUGGAGAGUAACUGCUCCAGCCUUGACGGUAUCUGACCAGAAAGCCACGGCUAACUACGUGCCAGCCGCGGC
rnacentral:rRNA from 1 species